rnacentral:ribozyme from 1 species
UGCCCAGCAACUCCUAUCCCUACCUCCACGCGGUACCGGCCGGAAACUAUGAGCAACCUUAGGGAAGAUCGGGUAACUAACCCCGGUGGGACCUUUGGUCGUAGGUUGACAGGGAAGG